AACCCGCACAAGCGGUGGAGUAUGUUGUUUAAUUCGAAGAUACACGAAGAACCUUUACCAGGUCUUGACAUACCAUUGACAGGCGCAGAGAUGUGCUCUCCUUCGGGCAAUGGAUACAGGUGGUGCAUGGUUGUCGUCAGCUCGUGCCGUGAGGUGUUGGGUUAAGUCCCGCAACGAGCGCAACCCUCAUUGUUAGUUACUACCAUUCAGUUGAGGACUCUAAUGAGACUGCCAACGAUAAGUUGGAGGAAGGUGGGGAUGACGUCAAAUCAUCAUGCCCUUUAUGACCUGGGCUACAAACGUACUACAAUGGCCAAUACAAAGAGAUGCGAAGCGGUGACGUGGAGCGAACCUCAGAAAGUUGGUCUCAGUUCAGAUUGAAGUCUGCAACUCGACUUCAUGUAGGCGGAAUCGCUAGUAAUCGCGGGUCAGCAGACCGCGGUGAAUACGUUCCCGGGUUUU
rnacentral:rRNA from 1 species